rnacentral:ncRNA from 1 species
UAGGGAAUUGCCGAAAACCCUGAAUAGAUUAGGCA